CUCAGUGGUAGAGCGCCUGCCUUACAAGCAGGUGGUCACUGGUUCAACAAUCAUAAAGA
rnacentral:tRNA from 1 species